AGAGCUGCCGCCAUUUUGCGGGAAGAGGAGGCUCUGUACCUGCAGUGCUGCUUUUCUUGCCUAGACUCUAGGAACUAUCCGAGCUCCACUCCCCACAACAUACUCAAAGGAACGGAGAGAACCGGGACCCCCCUGCGGGGACCCGGAACUGAUCUGACAGGAUGGCAUCUGAUGACUUUGACAUAGUGAUUGAGGCCAUGCUGGAAGCUCCCUAUAAAAAAGAAGAGUCGUAGUCGAGAUCGGGAUCGGUAUAGACGGAGAAAUAGUCGGAGCCGAAGUCCAGGUCGGCAGUGUCGUCACCGUAGCCGUAGCUGGGAUCGUCGACAUGGUAGUGAGUCGCGAAGUCGGGACCAUCGUCGUGAGGAUCGUGUGCAUUACAGGAGUCCUCCACUUGCCACUGGGUAUCACUUUUUGCUAAUAGAUUCACUUUUGUAUAAUAAUCUGGAUAAAACAACAAAUGCACUAUGAACCCUGCUUGAGGGUGCUUAUUAUAACACAUUGUGAUUGGCAGGAUACUCAGGCACAGAAAGGGUUGGUAUUCAAAAUUUACUGGUGUGGUGGCUCAUGCCUGUAAUCCCAGC
rnacentral:lncRNA from 1 species